GGUUGGCUAGGUUAAAAAGACCGUCGGACUCAUAACCCGAAUGUAUCCUUGAGUGGUUGCUGAUCA